UAAACGCUAUUGAUUAAUUUGGACACGGGUCUCUGUCUAUUUUAAGCAAAUAASAAUCUUACAAAUUCUUAUAAACGGACAGAGUGUUUGCAUUGUUAUAAUUAAAUUGGUUAACGAACAUUUAGGAACCAAAUUCGUUCAUCAACACUCAACUUAUCUCUUAUCAUUUUUCCUACAUCAGAUAUGCAGGUGACAUUUCCACCUGGAUGACAGCACAUAAUCAGCAAGACGGAGAUGCUCUUCAUCCGAGGGAAUGCCUGCCCAUUCUCAGAUGUACCCUUCCUCACCCAUGCCAACAAGAUGUUACUUGUGGGGUAUUUGCCUUGACAUUUGCUGAAUGURUUCUGAAGGAGGAGUCGUUUGUCUUUUCAAAUACGGACAAAGAUGUUAACAUCAUGGUAUGUUAACACUCCAAAACACUGGUGUGUUCAAUUUCUAAUUUAAUAUAAUUGUAGAUAAAAAACAUUUAUAUGGAUCUUUCAAGGUUAUCUUWGAUUCAACUUCUGAUUUGAUGGCCRCUAAAACACAUGUAUUUAAAUAAUUUUGUUACAAGAAACCUAUACUAUUCCCUUGUUCCCUGUUUGAUCAGAAAAAUACAUGUAAAGAURUAUAGACUACUUGACAUUAUGUUUUGCUAGAAGACMUGAGCCAACUGUGCCACUUCUGUAGGGAGGUGGACAAUAAUGAGGAAGACACUAACUGGAUUGGUUGUGACYGCUGCCCACGAUGGUUCCACCAGUCCUGUAUGAAAACCAUYCCAUCAUUGGAGGAUUAUGUCUGCGCUGCCUGUCAGGACUAGGUUAGGCUUGAGUUCCAGGCGACGGUAUMACCUGGAAAACUUUCCAUWAAAAGUGGAAUAAAUGUUCAGUCGAGCUGUUGCAGCUUUCCAAUAUUUGUUUAUGUUAUUUAUUGUCUUUUUAUAUUUGAUUUAUUGUCAUUUUAUAUCUUAUUAUGCAAAUAUUUAAAUKUGUAUGUCCUAUUUAAAGGUUGCUAACAAACUUAACUUUCUGUAAUGUUUUUGUG